rfam:Triticum aestivum genome assembly, contig: Triticum_aestivum_CS42_TGACv1_scaffold_162772_2DL
GCUGGCAAGUGUUGAUCAGAGAACUACACCCUCAAUGGUAAAUUCCAUGUGUGUACCAAUAAUCUCCGCUUAUUAUCUGAUGCCUUG